rnacentral:rRNA from 1 species
CUGGCUCAGGAUGAACGCUAGCUACAGGCUUAACACAUGCAAGUCGAGGGGCAGCAUUGGGAUAGCUUGCUAUUCAGAUGGCGACCGGCGCACGGGUGAGUAACGCGUAUCCAACCUUCCUGCCAGUAGGGAACAGCCCGGCGAAAGUCGGAUUAAUGCCCUAUGUUCUUCAAUGCGGACAUCUAAGUUGAAGGAAAGAUUCAUCGCUGGCAGAUGGGGAUGCGUCCGAUUAGCUUGCCGGCGGGGUAACGGCCCACCGGGGCGACGAUCGGUAGGGGUUCUGAGAGGAAGGUCCCCCACACUGGUACUGAGACACGGACCAGACUCCUACGGGAGGCAGCAGUGAGGAAUAUUGGUCAAUGGGCGUAAGCCUGAACCAGCCAAGUAGCGUGCAAGGAUGACGGCCCUACGGGUUGUAAACUGCUUUUAUGCGGGGAUAAAGUGCGGCACGUGUGCCGCUUUGCAGGUACCGCAUGAAUAAGGACCGGCUAAUUCCGUGCCAGCCGCCGC